ensembl:snoRNA SNORA66 Small nucleolar RNA SNORA66
AUGCAAACUCAAUCACUAGCCCUGCAUGAUGUGCCAACAACUAAGGAAACUGUGUUUACUAAAGUAAUUGUGGUAAUAAGAAUGUGCUAGCCUUGGAAGAUCCUGAGGUGGCUCAGUCUAUCCUGGUAUAGUA